AUGCAGGCCCCGUGCGUGGGCAGCCUGUGAACCAUGUCAGGCGGGGAACCGAGCAGCAUUAAGCAGCGUUUGCACAGUGCCGCGGCAAGCCUGCAUCUG
rnacentral:SRP_RNA from 3 species